rnacentral:rRNA from 1 species
UACGAAGGGGGCUAGCGUUGCUCGGAAUGACUGGGCGUAAAGGGCGCGUAGGCGGACGGCUUUGUCGGGCGUGAAAUUCCAGGGCUUAACCUUGGGGCUGCGUUCGAGACGGGUUGUCUAGAGUCUGGAAGAGGGUCGUGGAAUUCCCAGUGUAGAGGUGAAAUUCGUAGAUAUUGGGAAGAACACCGGUGGCGAAGGCGGCGACCUGGUCCUUGACUGACGCUGAGGCGCGAAAGCGUGGGGAGCAAACAGG